GAGAAGAACGUAGCGAAAUGCGAUACUUGGUGUGAAUUGCAGAAUCCCGUGAACCAUCGAGUCUUUGAACGCAAGUUGCGCCCGAAGCCACUAGGCCGAGGGCACGCCUGCCUGGGCGUCACACGCCGUUGCCCCCCCAUCUACUCCUUCGGGAUUGCGGGGGGGCGGAUGAUGGCCUCCUGUGCGCCUAGCCGCGCGGUUGGCAUAAAUACCAAGUCCUCGGCGACGCACGCCACGACAAUCGGUGGUUGCGAAACCUCGGUUGCCCGUCGUGUGCGUUCGUCGCGCAUCGAGGGCUCGAAAAAAUGCUCGGCUCCGGCUGGGCUUUCAACGCGACCCCAGGUCAGGCGGGGUUACCCGCUGAAUUUAAGCAUAUCAAUAAGCGGAGGA
rnacentral:misc_RNA from 1 species